GACGAACGCUGGCGGCGUGCUUAACACAUGCAAGUCGAACGGAAAGGCCCUGCUUUUGUGGGGUGCUCGAGUGGCGAACGGGUGAGUAACACGUGAGUAACCUGCCCUUGACUUUGGGAUAACUUCAGGAAACUGGGGCUAAUACCGGAUAGGAGCUCCUGCUGCAUGGUGGGGGUUGGAAAGUUUCGGCGGUUGGGGAUGGACUCGCGGCUUAUCAGCUUGUUGGUGGGGUAGUGGCUUACCAAGGCUUUGACGGGUAGCCGGCCGGAGAGGGUGACCGGACGCAGUGGUAGUGAGUCAGGGCGGAGAGGCCGAGGGGCGACAGAGGGGGGGAGUAGCGCCAGAUGGUGCGACGCGUGGCGGAACAGCGGGAGGUGCGGGAUGGGGGGCUGCGGGUUCGCAGCCACGUCGGCCGGGGGCGAGGGGCGGGCGAGGGUGAGGGGCAAAGAACCGUUGGCUAACGGCGAGCCAGAGGCGUGGGUAAUGCAGCGGAGGGGAACCCGACC
rnacentral:rRNA from 1 species